rnacentral:rRNA from 1 species
GUAGGGAAUAUUGGGCAAUGGUCGGAAGACUGACCCAGCCAUGCCGCGUGCAGGAAGACGGCCCUCUGGGUUGUAAACUGCUUUUAUCUGGGAAGAAAAAGGCCAUGCGUGGCAAAUUGCCGGUACCAGAUGAAUAAGCACCGGCUAACUCCGUGCCAGCAGCCGCGGUAAUACGGAGGGUGCGAGCGUUGUCCGGAUUUAUUGGGUUUAAAGGGUGCGUAGGCGGCUGAUUAAGUCAGCGGUGAAAGACUUCGGCUUAACCGGAGCAGUGCCGUUGAUAUUGGUUGGCUUGAGUGUCGGAGGGGUACAUGGAAUUGAUGGUGUAGCGGUGAAAUGCAUAGAUACCAUCAGGAACACCGAUAGCGAAGGCAUUGUACUGGCCGACAACUGACGCUGAUGCACGAAAGUGUGGGGAUCGAACAGGAUUAGAAACCCCGGUAGUCC